CGGAGGGUGCAAGCGUUAUCCGGAUUCACUGGGUUUAAAGGGUGCGUAGGCGGGUAUGUAAGUCAGUGGUGAAAUCCCCGAGCUUAACUCGGGAACUGCCAUUGAUACUAUAUGUCUUGAAUAUCCUGGAGGUCUGCGGAAUAUGUCAUGUAGCGGUGAAAUGCUUAGAGAUGACAUAGAACAUCUAUUGCGAAGGCAGCAGGCUACGGGAAGAUUGACGCUGAGGCACGAAAGCGUGGGGAUCAAACAGGAUUAGAUACCCUGGUAGUCCACGCCCUAAACGAUGGAUACUCGACAUACGCGAUACACAGUGUGUGUCUGAGCGAAAGCAUUAAGUAUCCCACCUGGGAAGUACGACCUCAAGGUUG
rnacentral:rRNA from 1 species